ACCCUCCAGAUGUGGUACUCAGUAGACAUAAACAUUGGCCUGAGUGGUUAUCAAAGGAGGAAAAGCACAAGUGAAAAUGUCUUGAAUUCUUUUGUGACGCACAAUCUAGUUCCCAACAAAA
rnacentral:snoRNA from 1 species